GUGCGAGACCGAUAGCGAACAAGUACCGUGAGGAAAAGAUGAAAAGAACUUUGAAAAGAGAGUUAAAGAGUACCUGAAACUGCUGAAAGGGAACCGAAUCGUAUCCAGUGUCUAUAAUCCAUGGCAUAUUUCAUUGGCGAGUGAGUGCGUGCAGCGUUUUGGAAGUGGUUUUCCGCUCCUGUCGUUGUUGUGCAUUUGCUUGCUGGUGCCCUGCGCUGUGGUGGGACGUCAGAGUCAGUUUGUGUGUCGCGGGAAAUGGUUAUUGGGGAGGUAGGUCGCUUCGGUGGCUGUUAUAUCCUGGUGACUAGUCGUCGUGGCUGAGACUGAGGUGCCUACAAUGCGCUUUCGAGUCUGCGGAUUUCUCGUGUGGAUGUUUGCUUGGAUAGCUUGUUAUGUUGGCGAAUAAAUCGUGCGAUUGAGAUUUGUAGUAACUUGUUGCUGUUCGGGACUUUGA
rnacentral:rRNA from 2 species